GCCGGGCAUGGUGGCACAUGCCUGUAAUCCCAGCUACUUGGGAGGCUGAGGCAGGAAAAUUGUUUGAACCCGGGAGGCGGAGGUUGCAGUGAGCCAAGAUCACACCACUGCGCUCCCAGCCUGGGCGACAGAGCGAGACUCUGUCUCAAAAAAAAAAAAAAUUACAUAAUAUUUAUUUAUUUAUUUUUGUGAGACAGGUUCUGGCUCUGUUGCCCAGGCUGGAGUGUAGUAGCACGAUCUCGGCUCACUGCAACCUCUGCCUCCCAGUUUCAAGCCAUCCUCCCA
rnacentral:lncRNA from 10 species